rnacentral:lncRNA from 1 species
UUCUUUACUAUGUUGGUUUUUUCAAGGAACCGUCGUUUGUAUUUUAAUACCACGACGGUUGGAUGGUUUAGUUAGAUUAAUUUAUUUUACUUUUGUACAAGCUAUCUUAUAUUUAUUUCUUUAUUUCUUGAAACAGGAUUUCUCAAAGCUUGACUUGGCAAGCUGAUAGAAAAUCAAUUGACGGUCAUGAUAAGGUCAUAAUUUCACACAUUUGCAUGCCUUCUUUGUUUAGUAAUUUUGUUUAGCUUCUCUUUAUUUUGAGUCUCUUACCUAUGUUUGUGUGUUUUGGAUGACAUUUGAUACAAUUCAUGCAUGUUAAGGGCUGAGUGGCACAAGAGGAAUAUGAUCUUAAAGACAAAACCAAUUUGAGCCACACUCCUUGUCAGUCCAGUUUCGUAGGUCAUCUUACAUGCAUCAUUUCAGUAACUUACACAGGUCGGAUGAGGAGACAUCCUUGAUAGAACUUGUUCAAAUGGGUGUCUAUUAUAACAUAUCCAAAUUUCAGCCCAAUUGGAUAAACCUAGAAAGUUCACAGAAAUGUCAUGUUGGUUGCCAUCACAUUUAAUGUGGCUACAUCCCUAGAGCCAUGUGCUACACAUGGGCAGCCACACAUGGGAGUCAAAUCAGCUCAGGAACUCAGAAGGAUGAACAAAAGUCAAGCUUUCCAUAAAGAAACCAUACCAAAGCAUGUAUUUGGCAGCUGGAGCAGUUGGCAAGUAUGGGCAACUAGAGCAAUUGGGAGCAGCUAAGAGAGGUGUGCUUCACCAGCCAAAGGGGAGGACGAAAUUGCACUCUAUAAAUAGAGAGUUUCACUUGGGUCAGACAGACACAUUCACUUCAUCCAUUACUCUCAUACACACAUUCAGAUUCACCACAAAGAGAUAAGGGAGCUUGGAGCUGUCAAGGGAGCUUGGAGCUGUCCUGGGA